rnacentral:rRNA from 1 species
GACGAACGCUGGCGGCGUGCCUAAUACAUGCAAGUAGAACGCUGAAGGAGGAGCUUGCUUCUCUGGAUGAGUUGCGAACGGGUGAGUAACGCGUAGGUAACCUGCCUGGUAGCGGGGGAUAACUAUUGGAAACGAUAGCUAAUACCGCAUAAGAGUAGAUGUCGCAUGACAUUUGCUUAAAAGGUGCAAUUGCAUCACUACCAGAUGGACCUGCGUUGUAUUAGCUAGUUGGUGAGGUAACGGCUCACCAAGGCAACGAUACAUAGCCGACCUGAGAGGGUGAUCGGCCAAGCUGGGACCGAGACACGGCCCAGACUCCUACGGGAGGCAGCAGUAGGGAAUCUUCGGCAAUGGACGGAAGUCUGACCGAGCAACGCCGCGUGAGUGAAGAAGGUUUUCGGAUCGUAAAGCUCUGUUGUAAGAGAAGAACGAGUGUGAGAGUGGAAAGUUCACACUGUGACGGUAUCUUACCAGAAAGGGACGGCUAACUACGUG